GUGCUUGCUCAGCAGCACAUAUACUAAAAUUGGAACGAUACAGAGAAGAUUAGCGUAGCCCCUGUGCAAGGGUGACAUGCAAAUUUGUGAAGUGUUCCAUAUUUUU
rnacentral:snRNA from 1 species